CUUCAGCGUCCCCAGCCGCAACGGGCGGUCGGCCGUGUGGGCCCGCCCGUACGUGGCGAUCAGCGCCCGCGCCUC
rnacentral:antisense_RNA from 1 species